rnacentral:rRNA from 1 species
AGGACGAACGCUGGCGGCGCGCCUAAUACAUGCAAGUCGAGCGAGAAAUCCGGGGCUUGCCCCGGGUGGACAGCGGCGAACGGGUGAGGAACACGUGAGAAACCUGCCCCGAAGACCGGGAUAACACCGGGAAACCGGUGCUAAUACCGGAUGCCCUCACCGGACCGCAUGAUCCGGUGAGGAAAUGGAUUCCGCUUCGGGAUGGUCUCGCGGCCUAUCAGCUUGUUGGUGGGGUAAUGGCCUACCAAGGCUUCGACGGGUAGCUGGUCUGAGAGGAUGUCCAGCCACACUGGGACUGAGACACGGCCCAGACACCUACGGGUGGCAGCAGUCGAGAAUUUUUCUCAAUGGGGGAAACCCUGAAGGAGCGACGCCGCGUGGAGGAUGAAGGUCUUCGGGUUGUAAACUCCUGUCAUUUGGGAACAGGCGUAGGUAUUAACUGUAUCUACGUUGAUAGUACCAGAAGAGGAAGAGACGGCUAACUCUGCGCCAGCAGCCGCGGU